rnacentral:rRNA from 1 species
CCUACGGGUGGCAGCAGUGGGGAAUAUUGGGCAAUGGGCGCAAGCCUGACCCAGCAACGCCGCGUGAAGGAAGAAGGCUUUCGGGUUGUAAACUUCUUUUCUGAGGGACGAAGAAAGUGACGGUACCUCAGGAAUAAGCCACGGCUAACUACGUGCCAGCAGCCGCGGUAAUACGUAGGUGGCAAGCGUUAUCCGGAUUUAUUGGGUGUAAAGGGCGUGUAGGCGGGAAAGCAAGUCAGAUGUGAAAACUCAGGGCUCAACCCUGAGACUGCAUUUGAAACUGUUUUUCUUGAGUGCAGGAGAGGCAAGCGGAAGGACGGGUGUAGCGGUGAAAGGCGGAGAGAGACGGAAGAACA